ACUAGAGUAGCAAAACCUGGUAAUGCAAAUGACCUAAGCCCUUUUCAUAGAGGUUCAACUCCUCUCUCCAGUU
rnacentral:tRNA from 1 species